GCAGGAGAUAGUGCUAAUCUUUUAAUAAAAGAUCCCAUUACAAUGGGAUCUGUCUGGACAGACUAUAAUAGAUCCCGAAAUACAGCCGUGCUAAUAUUAGAAGACAGUUGUUUGGGUGCCUCUCAGACGGGCCCAAGCCCCCCUUUGAAAGUGGGCAUGAAUCACAAAGCCCGCGGCCGCCGCACCUGCACCGCGCGCAUUCGGUGCAGCAGGCUGCUGCACCUUGGAUAGUAUUGAUCUGUUUGGGAGAAUGUCUGCCCCGAAUCGGCACAGAUCAGUCAUCAAGAUUCUUGUUGGCCUGGCGUAAUUUUCUAGCCAAUUGUAGAAAAUGAGACACAGGUCAAUAUGGUCUCAUCUGGGCCUCCUGUGAGCAUCAGCAAAAGAGUCAUCCAAUUUCUGGGGUAUGAAACGGUAUCACACCUGUUUGGUGACAUCACAGAAAAACAGCUAUUUCUUUUACUGUUUUAUCUCCUAUAAAUGUUACAUUUUGGGUUUGUAGAUGUCUAAAUGUCAAGGGGACAUUUUAAAAUAAAAGUGCCUUCUUUCAUUUGUGUUGUAUGCUUCCAAGUUUGACUUCUUAUUUUUUUCCCUUUCUGCUCUGCCAAAAAAGUAAAUGUAAAUUAUGAGAAAUACAAUAGGACCACUUUGUAACUGACUUUCUGGGCAGUGCACAAAAAGACUGCUGUUCUCCGAUUGUUUUUUGUCAGCUUCAAAAGCUAUCUUCCUUCUGAAGUUUAUAAAUUUAAAAUAUUCGAGUUUAGCAAAUAAUUCAAUCUAGCUCCUAAGAUACCUAUUUUAAAUCCUAUGAAAUGGUUGUUUGAACCAGAACUGACCUGGUUAAAUUUUAGUCCCUAAAAAGGGAAUAUGGAAGGGGUAUGUGAGGUUACAUAGGGAAAAUUUGGAAGUCAUGGAGUAGCUUUUGCUCUUUGCCUUAAAAUUAAACGUCGCACUUUUUUGAAGUUAGGUAUUUUCCCAAAUGAGAUUAAGAUUUCAGAUGCAAAUAAUCAAUCUUGAUUAAACAGGAGAAUUUAAGCACUUGAGAAAUAGACUGAAGUGAUAUUAAAAUCAGAUUUUAUUCUUCUGGGUACAAAACUGGUUACUUAAUGCGUCAUAGUCUUUGGUGUUGUGUAACAUCAUAGGCUAGAUGAGGAUUGGGGGUAGUGGUAAUAGUUCUGUAUUGGCUGAAUUGUUGCAGAACUAAAAAGUUAAGAAAUUCCCUUCAGUCGUGUCCGACUCUGUGUGACCCCAUAGACGGCAACCCACCAGGCUCCCCUGUCCCUGGGAUUCUCCAGGUCUAAAGUUCACAACCAGUCCAUCCUAAAGGAAAUAAGUCCUGAAUAUUCAUUGGAAGGACUAAUGUUGAAGCUGAAACUCCUGAUACAAAGAGCUGACCCAUUUGAAAAGACCCUGAUGCUGGGGACGAUUGAAAGCAGGAGGAGAAGGGGACGACAGAGGAUGAGAUGGUUGGAUGGCAUCGCUGACUUGAUGGACAUGAAUUUGAAUGGACUCUGGGAGUUGGUGAUGGACGGGGAGGCCUGGCGUGCUGCAGUCCAAGGAGUAGGACAUGACUGAGAGACUGAACUGAACUGAACUGAAAGUUCACAAGACACUUAGACGUGACUUUAUAUACCCUAUUACAUCCUUUAUAGACUUUUAAUUAAUCAUCUUUCUUUGAAGAAGAAUUCAUUCCAAACCUAUUUUGCACUUUGCCUCUGUAUCUCCUAAGUUUGGAUCUGUCUUUGGGUUUUCUGCUUUGUUCUAUUCCUCUAUUUGUUGAUCCUAUGUUGGUCUCAGAAUCUUGACUACUAUGAGGAAGUCAGGUAAUGUAAUUCCUUCAACUUCUUUCUUUUUCAAGAUUGCAAGUACAUUAUAUACAAUUGAAUAUUGUAGUUGUGUUUUCAUAUAAAUUUUAGAAUACAUUUGUUCAAUUCUAUAUGUACACACAAAAUGUUUGAUGGGAUUAUGAUUGGGAUAGAUCAGUUUAGGGAGAAUUGAAAUAUUAAAGUAACUAUGUGCCACAUAUAGAUAAUUUAAAGAAACACAAAAUAUUUCUGAAAUUGAAGGGGAUUAUAAGGAAUCAAAUAUUAGAAACAAGUAGUAUCAAAAAGAAAGGGCUGUCCAUGAUUGACUGAUCCUUUAACAUAAAAGCAAAAUUGAAAAAAGUCUUCAGGAGAUGGGAAUGGCAACCCACUCCAGUAAUCUUGCCUGGAAAACUCCUUGAACAGAAGAGCCUGGAGGGCUGCAGUCCAUCGGGUUACAUGACAGAGCACACACACGAUGGAGGUGGAGGAAGAUGGGUUGGUAGCAAUAAACAGAGGUAGAACUAAAAGAAAGAAAAGAGUCUUCAAAACCAUGAACAUGGUAUAUCUUUUCCAUUUACUUAAGUUUUAAUUGUUCUCAACUAUGGAUGGCUGGAUGGCAUCACUGACUCAAUGGACGUGAGUCUGAGUGAACUCCAGGAGUUGCUGAUGGACAGGGAGGCCUGACUUGCUGCGAUUCAUGGGGUUGCAAAGAGUCGGACACGAAUGAGCGACUGAACUGAACUGAACUGAACUGAUGGUUUGUAGAUCCAUUUUGUAUUUUAACAGUUAUUGAAAAACCAUGCAGAAAUAGAAUAAUAAAUACAGUUUCCAUCUCUUCACCUCAAAGGAUCUUGAUGAGUUAUAAAGAAUUCCUGGUGCAGGCUUAUACAUGUCUUCAAUACUUUUUAAGGCUGAUUACCUAUGGUCAGUUAAAAAGAAUGUAUUGAACACACUUUCCAGGAGUGGUGUACUAAUUCAUCAAAACCUCUUGCACUCAUUUUUUGGGUGUUCAUUUUAAACCACAGUCACUCCUUUAAAUGAAUAAUUUUUGUCACUGUGAGAUUUAUACCCACUGAAUAUUAAAAAUGAUCUUUUAUUGGUGAGUGUUCUAUUGAAUAUUUCAUACUUUUCAUAUGAAUAGGUUCCUACUCAAAACAAUCCAUCAUUGGGACUUUCCUGGUGGUUCAGUGGUUAAGACUCCAUGGUUCCAAUGCAGGAGGCACAGGUUCAAUUUCUGGUUGGGAAACUGGGAUCCCACAUGCUGUGUAGCCAAAACAAAACAAAACAAAUCAAUCCAUCAUAGUGCUUGAAUUUUGAGUGGUGGAAACAUGCAGUUCCCAUUGUGCCAACAUUUGGGUGACAGUUACUUUCUGCUGUAUUGGAGAGCUACAUC
ensembl:lncRNA